rnacentral:rRNA from 1 species
GUCCACGCCGUAAACGAUGAAUGCCAGCCGUUGCGGGGUUUACUCUGCAGUGGCGCAGUUAACGCUUUAAGCAUUCCGCCUGGGGAGUACGGUCGCAAGAUUAAAACUCAAAGGAAUUGACGGGGGCCCGCACAAGCGGUGGAGCAUGUGGUUUAAUUCGACGCAACGCGCAGAACCUUACCAGCCCUUGACAUCCCGGUCGCGGUUUCCAGAGAUGGAGACCUUCAGUUCGGCUGGACCGGAGACAGGUGCUGCAUGGCUGUCGU